UCUCCGUAGGUGAACCUGCGGAGGGAUCAUUACAGAGUUCAUGCCCUACCGGGUGGAUCUCCCACCCUAUGUUAUUAUUACUUUGUUGCUUUGGCGGGCCGUUAGGCUCCGGCCCGACUACCGGCCCCGGCUGGUAAGCGCCCGCCAGAGGACCCAAAACCCUGAAUAUUAGUGUCGUCUGAGUACUAUAUAAUAGUUAAAACUUUCAACAACGGAUCUCUUGGUUCUGGCAUCGAUGAUGAACGCAGC
rnacentral:misc_RNA from 1 species